GGCCUGCUUGCUCAGUCGGUUAGGGCGUCGUGCUAAUAACGCGAAAGUCGUAGGUUUGAUGCCUGCGCAGGCCA
rnacentral:tRNA from 1 species